UCUCUCGCUCUUGUCCCUUCUCGCCCAUGAAGUACAAUAUCCCACUCAUUCUCUACGUGGUGCUCCAGUUCGUGGCGUUCUUCUUCGUGCUGGUGGGAACUCCGCUGGACAUCUUCCGCGACAAAUCACCAAACGGGUUCGGUAAGUUUCCCUGCUUUACGUUGUGGGGAAUUCUGUUUAAUUGCACACCGGGUGAUAAAAUGGAAGGAAUCGAUGCGUAUUCAGGGUGCCCUCUGCGCAUGCACCAAUUCCGCGCUGCAGAGGCUUUUGUCAUCAUCUCCAUCGUCGUGUACGGCGCAGCGUUCAUUCUUGGAUUGAUUUUGCUGUUUUGCUGCCCUGUGCUCCGCCGGGUCUGCCUGACGCUCAACAUCGUUGGCGUGGUCACCUUGUGCGUUGUUUGGGCAUUGGUGGUGGAAAUGUACUACAAAGAUGCUAAUCCACGUUGCGAGAAAUUUAAGGAAGGGGCAUCUUAUAGCUCCGCCUUCGUUCUCUUUGUGCUGGCCUGGAUACUGGAUGUCAUCAACAUUUUCUUGCUGCUCCUUCCCUUCGCUGGCGUGGACGCUGGAGCGAAUCGAAGGGCAGAGCUGCCGACCGCGAAGUAGAAUGGAGGUAGUAGGAGGAGACGGAGGGCGAGCUUGACAGCGGCGCGGCCCCUCCCCCACACCGGCGUCCUCGUGGUGGAGCCGGUGUCGGCGACGAUGAGGGUGCGCAAGCUGCGGGUUCCCGUGUGUGCCCUUCGCCGGCCCAGCCCUCUCGCUGCCCUGUCCUUCGUGCAUGCGUGUGCGGCACGCCGUGCACCGGGACAGCUGCCGAGGGGUGGUUGCGGCACUUCCUCCAGGAGUGCUGAUGGCACACGGCGCCUGUAUGCGUGUGUGUCUGUGUGCAGGCGCCCCCUGCGACCCUCCUCCCUCUUCUUCCGUGAGCGGCCCCCUCGACCGCGCCCCUCCCUCGCCUACGCUGCCGUUGCUCGCGCGUCUCUGUUUUCGUGCGUUGUUCGCGGGUGCCGCCGCACGCUCUCGCGCUCCUUGACGCUCGUUUCUCUUUCGGGUUCUGCGAUGCUUGCUGUUCUCUCCUCCGCGCAG
rnacentral:misc_RNA from 1 species